UAGAAACACAAGCAUUUCAUUACACCGGUAAUUACAUCUGCUAAACAUGUGUACGUGACCAAUACAUUUGUAUUUGUAUUUGACAGAACCUGGGUUUAACAAGGGUCUGAACUUGGACCUGUUGUAGACGAAACGCACCCUCUCCAAACCCGUUGGAUUAGCGCCAUGAGACAGAAAACCCUGAACCACUAACGACCUACAUAAAGGAAUAGACAAGAGUCCUUCAAAAGUGCAUGGACCACAGAACAACGCCAAAAAAACAACAACACAACAGUACCCAGACACACUAAGCACCAAUAAAUGAGGACAAUGAUAUGCUU